UACGUAGGGGCAAGCGUUGUCCGGAGUUAUUGGGCGUAAAGAGCGUGUAGGCGGCCAUACAGGUCCGUUGUGAAAACUCGAGGCUCAACCUCGAGACGUCGAUGGAAACCGUAUGGCUAGAGUCCGGAAGAGGAGAGUGGAAUUCCUGGUGUAGCGGUGAAAUGCGCAGAUAUCAGGAAGAACACCCGUGGCGAAGGCGGCUCUCUGGGACGGUACUGACGCUGAGACGCGAAAGCGUGGGGAGCGAACAGG
rnacentral:rRNA from 1 species